UACGAAGGGGGCAAGCGUUGUUCGGAAUGACUGGGCGUAAAGGGCGCGUAGGCGGUUCGUUGCGUCAGAUGUGAAAGCCCCGGGCUCAACCUGGGAACUGCAUUUGAUACGGGCGGGCUUGAAUCCAAGAGAGGGUGGUGGAAUUCCCAGUGUAGAGGUGAAAUUCGUAGAUAUUGGGAAGAACACCAGUGGCGAAGGCGGCCACCUGGCUUGGUAGUUGACGCUGAGGCGGCGAAAAGCGUGGGGAGCAAACAGGG
rnacentral:rRNA from 1 species